AUUGAACGCUGGCGGCAUGCCUUACACAUGCAAGUCGAACGGUAACAGGUCUUCGGAUGCUGACGAGUGGCGAACGGGUGAGUAAUACAUCGGAACGUGCCUAGUAGUGGGGGAUAACUACUCGAAAGAGUGGCUAAUACCGCAUGAGAUCUACGGAUGAAAGCAGGGGAUCGCAAGACCUUGUGCUACUAGAGCGGCCGAUGGCAGAUUAGGUAGUUGGUGGGAUAAAAGCUUACCAAGCCGACGAUCUGUAGCUGGUCUGAGAGGACGAUCAGCCACACUGGGACGGAGCCACGGCCCGGACUCCUACGGGAGGCAGCAGUGGGGAAAUGUGGACAAUGGGCGCAAGCCUGAUCCAGAAGUGCCGCGUGCAGGAUGAAGGCCUUCGGGUUGUAAACUGCUUUUGUACGGAACGAAAAGCCCCGGGUUAAUACCCUGGGGUCAUGACGGUACCGUAAGAAUAAGCACCGGCUAACUACGUGCCAGCCGCCGCCGUAA
rnacentral:rRNA from 1 species